AUUGAACGCUGGCGGCAUGCCUUACACAUGCAAGUCGAACGGCAGCACGGGAGCAAUCCUGGUGGCGAGUGGCGAACGGGUGAGUAAUAUAUCGGAACGUGCCCAGUCGUGGGGGAUAACGUAGCGAAAGCUACGCUAAUACCGCAUACGAUCUAUGGAUGAAAGCGGGGGGAUCGCAAGACCUCGCGCGAUUGGAGCGGCCGAUAUCAGAUUAGGUAGUUGGUGGGGUAAAGGCUCACCAAGCCAACGAUCUGUAGCUGGUCUGAGAGGACGACCAGCCACACUGGAACUGAGACACGGUCCAGACUCCUACGGGAGGCAGCAGUGGGAAUUUUGGACAAUGGACGCGAAGUCUGAUCCAGCCAUUCCGCGUGCAGGAUGAAGGCCCUCGGGUUGUAAACUGCUUUUGUACGGAACGAAAGGUUUCUAUUAAUACUAGGAGCUCAUGACGGUACCGUAAGAAUAAG
rnacentral:rRNA from 1 species